GCUUGUUUAACAAAAACAUGUCUUUUUGAUAGAUAAUUUAAAGUCUAAUCUGCCCCCUGAAAUUAUUUUAAAGGGCU
rnacentral:tRNA from 1 species